AGCGAACGCUGGCGGCAGGCUUAACACAUGCAAGUCGAGCGGGCAUCCUUGUGGUGUCAGCGGCAGACGGGUGAGUAACGCGUGGGAACGUGCCCUUCGGUUCGGAAUAACUCAGGGAAACUUGAGCUAAUACCGGAUACGCCCUUUUGGGGAAAGGCUUGCUGCCGAAGGAUCGGCCCGCGUCUGAUUAGCUGGUUGGUGAGGUUAUGGCUCACCAAGGCGACGAUCAGUAGCUGGUCUGAGAGGAUGAUCAGCCACACUGGGACUGUGACACGGCCCAGACUCCUACGGGAGGCAGCAGUGGGGAAUAUUGGACAAUGGGGGCAACCCUGAUCCAGCCAUGCCGCGUGAGUGAUGACGGCCUUAGGGUUGUAAAGCUCUUUUCUCCGGGACGAUAAUGACGGUACCGGAGGAAUAAGCCCCGGCUAACUUCGUGCCAGCCGCCGCCGUAACAC
rnacentral:rRNA from 1 species